rnacentral:rRNA from 1 species
UGGCUCAGGACGAACGCUGGCGGCGUGCCUAAUACAUGCAAGUCGAACGGUCUUUCUAUGGAAGCUUGCUUCCACUGAGAAGAUAGUGGCGAACGGGUGAGUAACACGUGGGUAACCUGCCCAUAAGAGGGGGGAUAACAUCCGGAAACGGGUGCUAAUACCGCAUAGUUUUCUUGGUCGCAUGAUCGGGAAAGGAAAGACGGCCUUUGUGCUGUCGCUUAUGGAUGGACCCGCGGCGUAUUAGUUAGUUGGUGAGGUAACGGCUCACCAAGACGAUGAUACGUAGCCGACCUGAGAGGGUGAUCGGCCACAUUGGGACUGAGACACGGCCCAAACUCCUACGGGAGGCAGCAGUAGGGAAUCUUCCGCAAUGGACGAAAGUCUGACGGAGCAACGCCGCGUGAGUGAAAGAAGGUUUUCGGAUCGUAAAACUCUGUUGUCAGAGAAGAACAAGUUGGAGAGUAACUGCUCCAGCCUUGACGGUAUCUGACCAGAAAGCCACGGCUAACUACGUGCCAGCCGCGGC